ensembl:lincRNA expressed sequence AI480526
CAUCAGACUCCAAGGAGAGGCCAACAGAUGAGGGAGCCAUUUUUCUGCAAUGGAAUUAAAUGGCCAAGUGGGACUCACACUUGGAAGAAUGAAGAAGACCUUUUAAAAAGAUCUGGAUUUUUCCUUAUGACUUGGAAUCCAUCUUUGUCUUGUAUAACUAGGUCAUAGCACACUAUUAAUGUCAGCAGUUAACAGUUUUGAAUUCAAAAAAACCUAAAGCAGUAAACAGUCCUCAGCGAAGCCGCCUUUUUGCCAGCCCAACCCUGGAAAGUUUGCAGUCGUGGAAGGAGCAGAAAUACCACGAGUGUAACUUACAAAGAAGCUUUUUCUUCUAGACUCCAUGGCACCGGGCUGAGUGGGUCUUGGCCGGAGACCGGAGCAAUGUCUGUGUUAUCCCCCACUGUAGACAAUCGUUGCUUCCUCUGGACAUCUGGAGCAGGCCCAAUUUGACCGACAGCCUUCCCCGCUAAGCUCUCAACAAGGCCAGGCGACCGUAGCCUGGCUUCUAGAAUGUGACAUGAACGGAGGGCUGGCCCUUUCCCUGUCUGUAGUGAUCUUACACAGUCAACGAGGUCUGUGUGUCGUCUCUGAGCAGGGCCUCCCCAGCUGCACCGGCAUCAGAAGUCAGUGGUGGGACCCAGUAAAGCCGACUGUGCCCGUUUCUCGAGUUUUCCCUCUUAGGCAGUUACAUCUAAGAACUUGCUCUUCUUAACAAGGUUCCAGGUACCGCCGGGUUUCUAGACUCUCCCUAGUAGGUUGACACCUGGGAUGUCCCCAGCUUGGUGGCUAGCAGUUGGCUUGCCCUCCUCCUAGGCAGGAAGCUUUGCUGCUGAAACUGGUGUGGCCCUUGAUCCCUGACCCCCUGGCCCCCCUAGAGUGUUUCUGGUUAUGUUACUUUGAUAAGCCAUUUGGCCGCAGGUGCCGCCGCCCCUGCUGGCUUCCCCCAUUUGGGCCUCAGCUUCCAGCCUCUUGUCUUCUCUUUUCUCCUCGCCCCUACAGUGAGUGCUGACGUGUGAGUUGGGGAGCCUGGAAGGCUUCCCUCCGUUGUUGCUGGAGGCAGGUUGGUGCCUAAUCAGGGAUGUUUCCAAGUCUGGCAGCUGUAGGUUAAAUGUGAACCGAGCUAGUGACCUUGGACCAGUGCCUCUCUCCCCCCCUCCCCCGGUUAAAAAGACCACAGUACCUGCUGGAAAAGGUUGGUGGGAGGAUUAAGUGAGAUUAAGGGGGCCAGACUCCGGCUCUGACCUCACAACCAGUUGGCCUCCAUUGUGAUAAGGAUUGUUGCUGGGAGUGGUUGCUGCCUGCGCGGGUGGGGGCUGGGCUGGCUCCAGCCAGGGCUCCUCCCCGCCAGCCCACUUCCUGAAGCACGUGCUGCAGCCUCCAGGCAAAGGAGAAAGAAAACUAGCUUUGCUUGGGAAGGCAGCCAGCCCUGUUUUUCUUCUAAGCGUUUGAGUCCAGGCUGUUCCCCGGGCUCCGUGGGCUGUCCCUGUGGUUGGGUCGGGAUUUAAGGGCCACCCACCAAUAGCCCCAAGAGAAGAAAAUGUCUCUCACCCAAGGUUAUGAGGCCACCACGGGGCAGAGCCUGGACAGGGUUCCAGGUGUCUUGAUUUUCAGCCCAGAGCCUGGGCCCGUGACACCCCCCUUGCCCAGCUGUCUGAGUUAUUUUAGGCUCCCUCCCGUGCCAGCUGUCUGCCUUUAUCACUGCCAGAGACAGCAGUCUG